UCGGGAAUUUUGGGCAAUGGGCGAAAGCCUGACCCAGCAACGCCGCGUGAAGGAUGAAGUAUUUCGGUAUGUAAACUUCGAAAGAAUAGGAAGAAUAAAUGACGGUACUAUUUAUAAGGUCCGGCUAACUACGUGCCAGCAGCCGCGGUAAUACGUAGGGACCAAGCGUUGUUCGGAUUUAUUGGGUUUAAAGGGUGCGUAGGCGGUUUAUUAAGUCAGUGGUGAAAGACGGUCGCUCAACGAUUGCAGUGCCAUUGAUACUGGUAGACUUGAGUAUGAUUGAGGUAGCUGGAAUGGAUAGUGUAGCGGUGAAAUGCAUAGAUAUUAUCCAGAACACCAAUUGCGUAGGCAAGUUACUAAGUCAUAACUGACGCUGAGGCACGAAAGUGUGGGUAUCAAACAGGAUUAGAUACCCACGUAGUCCCUGAGCGGGCUGGCAAGGCGCAU
rnacentral:rRNA from 1 species